CCGCUCCCGUUUAGCUGUCUAAAUUAACGCCUGCACCAAGUAGACCAUCUUGGGGACCAGAUUAGUGCUGAAACGAACGCGGAAGCUGUCGUGACUCCUUCAAAUGGUGAAAGAUUUUUCCAUACUUUCGUUUUUAUUGCCAACCAGGGCAAUCAAACAGUAUCGUCUAAAUAUAAAGGACGUCUACAUGAAUAGAAUACAGUAUGCCGUCCUUACUGUAUAUCUGACCCAGGUUGGUUAAGUGGGGCUUUCUCCUAAGGCUUUUCCCAAGUGCCUUUUUCACUAGGCUACUAUAUGGAAAUUGGAAUACUUCGUGGGGAUCACAUCACAUUACACGGAUUUACAUUCUAUUCUAUUUACUCCAUGUAAAUUUCAACGUCCCUGUACGAAGAGCAGCACGUGGCUGGGUUUGAACAUGUCUGGUUUGUUUAGCAUUUGGAUGAAAGAUCGGCUGGAAGUUUGGUAAAGGCAAUCUUCUUUCAUUUUAUUGCCAAGAAAGCUAUGCAGACUGUCCAUCGUGUCAAGCUCGGCUUGAAAGAUGCUUUAGUUUACAGUAAAUCCUGUUCAUUAUGAGUACAAUGGGUAAACUGAAUCCGGAGCAUGAGAAAGCCUAAAAGACGAGAGAAAAGCCAAAUGCUUAUGUAAAAAUUACAUUCCCCAGCAUUUCAACCCUAGGCGGGCAAAAGAGAAAAAAAAUGAGCUACAACAUGCUACGGGAGCAAGUCUUUCUACAUAGAGGCAUGCAGUCAGGUGCAUUCUGAAGUUACAUCAUUGGCCGGUUAGGAAUUUUGGUGUCUGUAGGUCACCUCCUUAACUUCAGCCUUCCCAAUCCAGUUGAAUCCCGUGUGACGUCACACUCGUGCAGAAAUCCUUUCUGAACUUGAUCUUUCCCAAUGUUUGGCCGUAAAUUCCAUGGGAAAUCACUGCUUUGCAGAUGUCGAGGAAGUUUAUGUGGGAUAGGAAUAAAUCAACUUUAAAUGUC